GAUGAAGAACGUAGCGAAAUGCGAUACGUAAUGUGAAUUGCAGGUUUCAGUGAAUCAUCGAAUCUUUGAACGCACAUUGCGCCCGCCAGUAUUCUGGCGGGCAUGCCUGUUCGAGCGUCAUUUCAACCAUCAAGCCUUCGCUUGUGUUGGGGCCCCGCGGCUGCCGCGGUCCCCUAAAUCCAGUGGCGGGCUCGUCGUCGUACCGAGCGCAGUAGACAUCCUCGCUCCGGGAACCCGACGGGUGCCGGCCGUGAAACCCCCCACAUCAAGGUUGACCUCGGAUCAGGUAGGAAUACCCGCUGAACUUAAGCAUAUCAAUAAGCGGAGGA
rnacentral:misc_RNA from 1 species